rnacentral:rRNA from 1 species
GAUGAGGGCGGGUGCUAUACAUGCAAGUCGUACGCUUCUUUUUCCACCGGAGCUUGCUCCACCGGAAAAAGAAGAGUGGCGAACGGGUGAGUAACACGUGGGUAACCUGCCCAUCAGAAGGGGAUAACACUUGGAAACAGGUGCUAAUACCGUAUAACAAUCGAAACCGCAUGGUUUUGAUUUGAAAGGCGCUUUCGGGUGUCGCUGAUGGAUGGACCCGCGGUGCAUUAGCUAGUUGGUGAGGUAACGGCUCACCAAGGCCACGAUGCAUAGCCGACCUGAGAGGGUGAUCGGCCACAUUGGGACUGAGACACGGCCCAAACUCCUACGGGAGGCAGCAGUAGGGAAUCUUCGGCAAUGGACGAAAGUCUGACCGAGCAACGCCGCGUGAGUGAAGAAGGUUUUCGGAUCGUAAAACUCUGUUGUUAGAGAAGAACAAGGAUGAGAGUAACUGUUCAUCCCUUGACGGUAUCUAACCAGAAAGCCACGGCUAACUACGUGCCAGCAGCCGCGGUAAUACGUAACCCGCAAGCCCUGUCCAGAUUUAUUGGGCGUAAAGCGAGCGCAGGUCGGUUUCUUAAGUCUGAUGUGAAAGCCCCCGGCUCAACCGGGGAGGGUCAUUGGGAAACUGGGAGACUUGAGUGCAGAAGAGGAGAGUGGAAUUCCAUGUGUAGCGGUGAAAUGCGUAGAUAUAUGGAGGAACACCAGUGGCGAAGGCGGCUCUCUGGUCUGUAACUGACGCUGAGGCUCGAAAGCGUGGGGAGCAAACAGGAUUAGAUACCCUGGUAGUCCACGCCGUAAACGAUGAGUGCUAAGUGUUGGAGGGUUUCCGCCCUUCAGUGCUGCAGCUAACGCAUUAAGCAGGUCUUGGG